rnacentral:snoRNA from 1 species
GACGACGACGACAACUGAACCUCAUUUGCAAUACACAGUUGGUGAGAGCCUUUCUUUCGAUGAUGAUGCACGAGUUAAUCCAUUCUCUGAGUCU